rnacentral:rRNA from 1 species
UACGGAGGGUGCAAGCGUUAUCCGGAUUCACUGGGUUUAAAGGGUGCGUAGGAGGGCAGGUAAGUCAGUGGUGAAAUCUCCAAGCUUAACUUGGAACUGCCGUUGAUACUAUCUGUCUUGAAUAUUGUGGAGGUGAGCGGAAUAUGUCAUGUAGCGGUGAAAUGCUUAGAUAUGACAUAGAACACCAAUUGCGAAGGCAGCUGGCUACGCGAAUAUUGACACUGAUGCACGAAAGCGUGGGGAUCAAACAGG